AGAACCCAUUUUAGUUCUGUCUUUCAGCCUAGCACACUCCACAUUCUCAGACAUCGCUUCUUGAGGGUGUACUAACCAUCAACUAUCAUUUCACAAUGGAGAAGCUGGCUAUGACCGUGUGACUAAGCUCUCACUAAUGGAAGGGUAGGCUGGAACUUGGAUGUGCAUUGGCAGGUCUGCAUUGGCAGACCAGAUGUCACCAUACAGACAACAAUAUCCUACAGGACAGAAAAGCUUGAAAGUAAAAGAAACUUUGGUGUUUGAAUAAACCACACAUUUGUCCUGGACCACCUGCCUAUCGUUGAACUGUUACAUGAGAGAAAAAGAGAUUUCUCUCUUAUUUGAACAAUUGCAUUUUCAAGUCUUUUUGUUACAGCAGCAUAACUGAUACCCUAACCCUGACAAAUACAUUUUUAAACUAAAGGAGGAAUGCUACUAUCGUACUCUGUGCUGGUCCAGUCUUACUUGGGGUGCAGUAUUCUCAUCUGUGAAUCACAUUUCAAGGGGCCUAAAGACAAAGUAGAAGUGUUCAGAUAACAGCAACAUGAUUGGUGAGAAAUUCAAAGUUGAAGAAACUGGAAGAGCAGAUUUAGAUUUCAGUAGAUAGAAGUAUGGUUCAACGGGAAAACUGAUUUUGCUGAAGAGAAAGAUUUCUGGCUGUCAGGUCUGCAUAGACAUUGGAGGCACUGAGUUCUCUGCUCAUGGAGAUAUUUUUCACAGAGCCUGGAUAAUCAUUUGGCUGGAUUUGUAACAACUGUGUAUCAUACAGCAUGAAAAUGCAUUUUCUAGCUUCCCUUGAAGUGAAAUGUGAGCAAAAAUGAUGCCAGCCACUCCCAGACCGGCCCAUAGAAACCUCCCAUAUUCUUUCUUCUUCUGCUGCUGGAUAUUGACACAGGGGAUGACUUUGAAAGCUGAGUAUUGAAGAUGGCAGAAGCUGUCUUUCAGCCUUGGUCCCUGAACAACAUGUUGAGCAGAUCCCGUGGUAAUCUGGAACUGCCCUGGACUGUAGGAAUCAACUUCUUUAUACAACAAUGGCAGAGAAGUUCUACAAUAUGGAGUCCUGUGAUAAAAGGUCCAGGUGACUCACCCACCAGCUGGUGACCAGCAGAGCAGAGGAGGAGCAAGCACAGGACCUUCAUCUUUCCCGCCAGGUGUGGGCGCCAGUCAAGGUGGGCUCCAGGCUCUGAUGCAGGCAUGAGAGGAUGUUGCAGCAGAUGUGCUGCUUGCUUUUAAAGCUCUGGAACACAACAAAGAUGAGGUUUUCUGUAGAUGUGUGCAUGAUUUUCAUAUAGAAAGAUUUCCUUUUUCCUAAAGUCUGGAAAACAAGUAAAUACCAAGUGAAUCACUGACCUCCCAGAAACUAUUUUAUGCUCAUGGUAUGCACUGGUGGAGGGAGGUGACUGAGGCAGGGCAGCCGAGCUGAGUACUUAAAGCUGGUUUUGCCCAAUCUGUGGUACGGGUACUCAUAGGGUAAGCAUGAUAAUUUGGGGGUGAUACACAGAUAUACAUUUACAAAUGUUAAUAGUGUGAUGUUUACACAUGGAAACAUAGAGGGGAACAACAGACACUGGGGCCCAGCAGAGGGUGGAGGGUCGAGGAGGGAGAGGAUUGGGAAACAUAAUUAAUGUACACUAGGCUUAACAUCUGGGUGACAAAAUAAUCUGUACAACAGGCCAGGCAUGGUGGCUCAUGCCUGGAAUCCCAGGACUUUGGGAGACUGAGGCAGGCAGAUCACUUGAAGUCAGGAGUUCGAGACCAGCCUGGCCAACAUGGCAAAACCCCGUCUCUAGUAAAAAUACAAAAAUUAGCCAGGCGUGGUGGCAUGUGCCUGUAAUCCCAGCUACUUAGGAGGCUGAGGCAGGAGAGAAUUGCAUGAACCUGGGAGGUGGAGGUUGCAGUGAGCCGAGAUCACACCACUGCACUCCAGCCUGGGUGACAGAGUGAGACUCCAUCUCCAAAAAAAAAAAAAAAAAAAAACUGUACAACAAACCCUCAUGACACAAGUUUAUCUAAACAAACCUGCACAUGUACCCCUGAACUUAAAAUAAAAGUUUAAUACUAAAAGAGAAAAAAAAA